GCCAGAGUAGCUGAGUGGUUUAGCUCGUCAUUCGUAAUGACGCGACGGGAGUUCGAUUCUCCCCUCUGGCUCAA
rnacentral:tRNA from 1 species